rnacentral:rRNA from 1 species
GCGGUGGAUGAUGUGGUUUAAUUCGAUGCAACGCGAAAACCUUACCCACCUUGACAUGGCAGGAAUCCCGAAGAGAUUGGGAGUGCUCGAAAGAGAACCUGCACACAGGUGCUGCAUGGCUGUCGUCAGCUCGUGUCGUGAGAUGUUGGGUUAAGUCCCGCAACGAGCGCAACCCUUGCCAUUAGUUGCUACGAAAGGGCAACUCUAAUGGGACUGCCGGUGACAAACCGGAGGAAGGUGGGGAUGACGUCAAGUCCUCAUUGGCCCUUAUAGGUGGGGCUACACACGUCAUACAAUGGCCGGUACGGAGGGUAGCCAACCCGCGAGGGGGAGCCAAUCCCACAAAGCCGGUCGUAGUCCGGAUCGCAGUCUGCAACUCGACUGCGUGAAGUCGGAAUCGCUAGUAAUCGCGGAUCAGCAUGUCGCGGUGAAUACGUUCCCGGGUCUU